UCUUGAAAGCUUUACUUUUGCUUUUGUUUUACUUCCGCUUUCACUUUAAUAAAUCUUGCCACUGCACACUCUUUGGGUCAGUGCGUUUCUCUAAUCGAGCUGUAAUACUCACCGUUGCAAUUCAUGGCUUCAUUCCUUGAAGCCCGUGAGACCACCAGCCCUUCAAUCGAGAAAAGACCUUCAAUCGGGAGAAGACCUCUUGUUUCAUUUCUGGGGGCUCACCUGGGAUUUCUCCAAAGCAGUGCCUGUACAAGGACCCCAGCUGCAGAAUAGGUGCUCUCCCCCACUUCUUUCCUUCCCACAUUCCAUCUUUGCAUCUGGGACAGCCUUUUCAGAAGUGGAAGGAGCCUCAGGAGUUAUUCGGUUCAACUGCUUUGAAAUGUCACACAAAACCAUGGAAUUAGAAUAUCACCAUUUUGCACCUUCUGUGAAUUGAUGAAUCAUGGCUUCCAUCGAGUAUUCUUGCCAGAAAAAUAGAACCUGGCUCCAAGAAAAAAGAACAUGCUAAAUGAUGUUAUGAGGAUGCAGUCUGCAACACCCAGACUGUUGGAGUCGGAAACUCCAGAACAAGCAACCCAGUAUCUUCAACAACACCAAUGCAUGAAAAUAAACAAAUGAAAAAAGCAAUUGAAGGAUGACACAAAAUGAAAAACAAAUGAAUAAAAAAAAAUUUCAAGGGAAUAAAAGAGAAGAAUGGAAAAUCUAUAGAUUUAGAGAGAUAAACAUCAACAAAUUGACAUGUAUGGAACUUAUUUGAAACUUGAUUCAAACAAAAUGCAAAAAAUAAAAAAAUGCAAUAAAAAAUUGAACAUUGCAUAUUUUAUGGUAUUAAGUAAUUGUUUUAGAACUCUUGAGUUGUAAUGAUUACAUUGUGGUUAUGCUUUAAAAAGCAAAAUAGAGUCCUUAUGUUUUAAAGAUGCAUAUUGAAAUAUUUAUGGAUUAAAUAGUAUAACCUGUGGAAAUUUGCUUCAAAAGAUUCAUGGAGGUGGGGAAUGAGUGGGGUUAUACAUGAAACAAUGUUGGGCAAUAAUUAAUAAUUGUUGAAGCUGCAAACUCACUAUACAAUUCUUGUUUUUUGGACACUUCUAAAUUUUGUGUAAUAAGUUUAAAAAUAAUACUAGUUUCUUCGUGUGUUUUGUUCCUCUACCUUGACCUCUCCCACUCCUUGUGGUACUAU
rnacentral:lncRNA from 1 species